rnacentral:rRNA from 1 species
UACGUAGGGUCCGAGCGUUAAUCGGAAUUACUGGGCGUAAAGCGUGCGCAGGCGGUUCGCAAAGACAGGUGUGAAAUCCCCCGGGCUUAACCUGGGAACUGCGCUUGUAACUAGCGGGCUAGAGUGCGGCAGAGGGGGGGUGGAAUUCCACGUGUAGCAGUGAAAUGACGUAGAUAUGUGGAGGAACACCGAUGGCGAAGGCAGCCCCCUGGGUCGACAC